AACCCCGUUGCCAUAUUUGUUUCCCUCCCCAGCAGCGCACGCCGCACCAGGCCUCCAUCUGCGUCGGCGCCGUCGACUUCCACCAGGCCGCCGUCACCCACGUCUGCCUGAACGAUCCCUCUUUCCUUGGUUUUCUCUCUCUCUGGUCUCCUCUUUCUCAUUCAGUGACGGGUGCAGCGUCGCCAGAGACGGCCGCGUCGCCAACGUCCUCGACGGCAACGAGAGCGGGGCGACCGACGAGGAUGGAGACGCUGCGGCGCCACGUGAGCUCGAUCUCCGCUGUCGGGUUUUCCCCGUCGUGUCCGUGCUGUCGGCGAGGUCGGAGUCGACGUUCUACAGCCUCCCGGCUCCAGAUAUUCAGCGACGAGGAAUCCUGAGCAACGGGGAUUUCAUCCCCGUGCUCAGCGCGGCCAAAGACGGCGGGAAACAGCGACGCGGAGGCAAACUCCGGCGAGGUUUAACUGAACCUUACUGAACUUUUCUAUUCUUUGUUUGCGUGGAUGAAUGGGAAAAGGAGGGCGAGAAGGAGGAUGGCGUGCAGGGGCUUCUCCGCGUGACCGCGUCCAGGUUAUAGCAGAGUGAGAGCUAGAGCGCGGUUUGGUGGCGACGAUAGGAUUCAGACUUCAGAGAAGCUCCUCUUGUGAUUCCCUCUGUCGGACACUGGCCAGGUGGUUUGGUCCGGCUCGGCUGGGAAGGGAAGAAAGGAUGGGCUGGCUGGUUAGGUAGGUUUUUCUCUUUCUUUUAUUUGUUUAAAAAUUCUCUCCAUCUUCAACUCGACUUUGAAAUCAGAGAGAGAGGGCAAAUUGGAUGAGCCGGCUAAAUCGAAGAUGUGGAGUAUGGGCAGCCCAUCAGGCGAGUAUUGCUUUCUCUCUCCAUCUCUCUUUAAUUCCAUGGUAGGUUUGCCUGUAUUUUUGGUGCGGUGAUGAGCUAUUAGCACUAAGAAAGCAAGAUACUCAGAGACGUCCUAUCACUUUCGCCAAGUCGGCAGGGAACGGGCUUGAGGAGGACCUUGAUGAUUGAGAGGCCAACUCGAUUUUGAUUGAUAGUCCAUUAUCAGCUUGCGUGUCUUCUCAAAUUAGUAGCUACUGCAUAUUUGAAAGAUCAUCAAAUAUCUGUUCUAAAUGACCACGUUAUUGUGCCUGGUGUUAAAAGGAUUUAUCUUCCACAUUUUAACAUCUGAUUUGUUUUGUGGUCAAUAGAUUAUAUUAACUCAGCUACUGAUAUAUCACCUUUUCUACUUACUGCAGAGAAGCGAGCUAAUUAGUAACUUCUUGAGCCUGUAGUUAUUAGUAUUUGACUUAUUUUGGUUUGACAUGUAGUAAAUGAAACCACUUCUUGCUCAUUUCAUUGGGGGCAAUACAGCCAUUUUGAAAGGAAAUUGAACUACAUUAUGUUCUAUAAGGUAUGGUUAUGCAAGAAUGAUAUUGUAGACCCGGUGCUCACUGAUUAUAGUACCAGUUCAGUGGAAAAAUGCAUGCGUAUUGGAGAAUUUCAUUUCUGUGGAACAGUUCAUGCUUAAUCAGUUUUCUACUUGGGAGGAGAUACCUGAACUUCCAAAGUUUACGAACGAAUGUUCUCACUAGAGACUCAAAAUAUCUACGUUUUUCUUAAAGUUGCCAAACCAUCUACAUCGGUAAAUGACCUAACUGUUUAGGCAGACGAGAACGACAAGAUUGGAACUCUGCUAAUGUUUUGUGUGGUGUGCAUUUAUUAAUAUAGUCUACAAAAAAUUUAAAACGGUUUAUAUCCGUUCCCUUUGUAGUUGUUUCUUGGGAACUAGAUUUAGUAUUAUUUUUCCAGUGUUGCAUCAUGUUGCCUAAACACAAGGAUAAAAGUUUGCAUGGUUGUUGUAUUUUGUUUACACUAUUCCAAAUAAUGUUUUACAUUUUUACACACUAAGGGUGGUUUUGCACGCUGCUUAUCUGAGUAAGUAUUCUUGCUUAGUCCAUCUGAUAACAUGAUGAAAUUGCCCUCAUUGUUAGCACUUUAUAGCCGACCUGAAUUUUAUCACAUGGGGUGCGAAUUUACUAGCUUUAUUUCUGUACCUGCAAUAAGGAUAUAUCAUAUACAGUGAAAAAAUUAAGUAAUUUUGAAGGUGAUCUUUUUCUUGGUCUGCAGCUUAAAGAAAAGAAAGCAAGACAAGUAAAGAAUAAAACAGUUGUUAAAAUUCCAGAACUAAUCUGAAUGCUCUGCUAAACCAGAGGUCGGUGUUUUCUUAAAAACAGAGUUCAGCGGUGAGACAAAUGGACACUAAAAGAUUUUUCGUAUUUUGUCCUACUUAGUUCUCCAUGCAAUUCCAUAAGGCUAGCUACAGAUCUGACAAUAGAAUUAUUUGCAUAUCGAAUCUUUGAUGGUGACAGUUUUGAAAUUCAACUCUUUGAGGGUAAAUCUUUGCUUGCUCUCUAGCUGAAUUCAAAUGAUACAGAAGAUAAGUACAGCAGAGACAACCAACUGUUAGUCAUAUUGGAACAGUAAUAUGAUUGCUCUGCUACACGACUAGAAACGAAACACACAAAGAAACCGAUGGAAAGUGAAAGAUCAUGGGCUGUCAGAAUUUUCCAUCCUGUUCUUAUUUUAUGACAUGUUAAACUGCGAAGAAAAGUGCUUCAAAGCUCAGAAACAAGAGGCUGCUCUUCGUCGGUGACUCAAUCAAUAGGAACAAAUUGGUCUCCCUGGCGUGCAUGGUCGAUUCCUCCAUUCCUAAGGUCUCAAGAUGCGUGUUUACAAUGGCCUCCUUAAAGGCGUAUAUUUUUAAUAUCUGAAUAUUGAAUUUCACAGAACAUAGGAGGCAUGCAUAGCACUUUCUGUCAGCUGACUUAUACAAAUUCUGGUAAUCGCUGAUACUGGAAUCAAGCAACAACAUUCUGAUAAUCUACCGGAUGGAGUACCAGAUCAUAAGGUAUAAAAUUAAUAAGCAUUCCGUUAUAUACGUAGAGGAACGGUGAAUCAGAAGGCCAAUAUGAGGAUGAAGGUCAUAUAUGCCUCAUUUGACGAUGGUGAUGCAAAGCUAGACGAAGUGAAGAUGGUCUAAGGUUUUGAGAUCACUCUCAAGAAGCUAACUAAUUAGCUGGGAAUGAACAUCACCAAAAAAGACUAAAAUCUAUUUCGCUGGCUCAUCGCCUAACCAUACUGGAAAAGCGUGUGGGGUGGAGACGACAACAAGGCGUAGCUGAUCCCGGAUGCUGUGGACGAAGAGGUCACCACAGACUGCAGCAUGAUGGGCAAUGCUGGAGAUAUCUUCAGAACACUGGAGAAGAAAGACGUCGACGCCCCAGAUUGCCAACACCAGCUCUACGUGGGCUCUACACUUUGGUGUUUCACAGGUGCUAUUGGCAUAUAAAACUGAUGUCACUCAGUGACGCCCAGUGUAUGAACUAACAAGGAAGAAAACUCUUGCAUCAUCAUUGUACUUCAUAAGCUACUUUUGACUAAGCUACUU